rnacentral:misc_RNA from 1 species
GCCUAGCGCUUUUGACAACACUGAAAGCAUUCAAAAGAAAAGGGAAAAGGUGAAAUGAAAAGAUAAAGAGUUUUGUAGUGCUUGUGGAUUACAUACUUUAUUGCUAGACAAAUAUCCUCAUAAGCUAAUACUCAACUCAACUAAGUUUUAAUCUCAAACUAGUUAGAGUCGGCCAUAUUGAUCCUUUUUCUCCCCUAAAAUAAUAAAAGAGAACAAAAAUAUAAAUAUUGAAGCCCAAACAAUAUAGAAUUUAUCAAAAAGGAAGUAGAAAAUAAGUAAUGCAUAGCUCAAGAGCAUGUGUUGGCCUUUACCAAAUGCGUGCAGCAUGGAUUCUAGUCAUAGGACAAGAUGCAUUUGAUUUCUCU